rnacentral:pre_miRNA from 1 species
AGUGCAACUGCUGGUUAAUAUGGUAAGAAUAUGUCUAAUUUUGUAAGAAACCACCAAAUUAUUUUCCAAAGUGGCUGUACCAUUUUGCAUUCCCACUUGCAAU